GCCGGCGUAGCCCAACGGCAGGAGGCACGCGGCCUAGGACCGCGACAGUGUGGGUUCGAAUCCCUCCGCCGGCA
rnacentral:tRNA from 1 species